AUUGAACGCUGGCGGCAGGCUUAACACAUGCAAGUCGAACGAGUGGCGGACGGGUGAGUAAUGUAUCGGAACCUGCCCUAUGGCGGGGGAUAACUACGGGAAACGGUGGCUAAUACCGCGUACCAUUAGAUGAGCCGAUAUUGGAUUAGCUAGUUGGUGGGGUAAAGGCUCACCAAGGCCACGAUCCGUAGCUGGUCUGAGAGGACGACCAGCCACACUGGAACUGAGACACGGCCCAGACUCCUACGGGAGGCAGCAGUGGGGAAUUUUGGACAAUGGGGGCAAGCCUGAGACAGCCAUGCCGCGUGUAUGAUGAAGGCCUUCGGGUUGUAAAGUACUUUUAGUAGAGAAGCGGUACCGGCAGAAGAAGCACCGGCUAACUACGUGCCAGCAGCCGCGGUAAUUC
rnacentral:rRNA from 1 species